rnacentral:rRNA from 1 species
CCUACGGGUGGCUGCAGUCGAGAAUCAUUCACAAUGGGGGAAACCCUGAUGGUGCGACGCCGCGUGGGGGAAUGAAGGUCUUCGGAUUGUAAACCCCUGUCAUGUGGGAGCAAAUUAAAAAGAUAGUACCACAAGAGGAAGAGACGGCUAACUCUGUGCCAGCAGCCGCGGUAAUACAGAGGUCUCAAGCGUUGUUCGGAAUCACUGGGCGUAAAGCGUGCGUAGGCUGUUUCGUAAGGCGUGUGUGAAAGGCGCGGGCUCAACCCGCGGACGGCACAUGAUACUGCGAGACUAGAGUAAGGGAGGGGGAACCGGAAUUCGUGGUGUAGCAGUGAAAUGCGUAGAUAUCGAGAGGAACACUCGUGGCGAAGGCGGGUUCCUGGACAUUAACUGACGCUGAGGCACGAAGGCCAGGGGAGCGAAAGGGAUUAGAUACCCUAGUAGUC